GGGCGUUUAGCGCAGUGGUAGCGCGUAUGCUUUGCAAGACCCGGGAAACCGGAUUCUAUCGUGUGUAUAAGGUCCAGGGUUCAAUCCCCUGAACGUCCA
rnacentral:tRNA from 1 species